rnacentral:rRNA from 1 species
CACGUAGGGCGCAAGCGUUUGUCCGGAAUUAUUGGGCGUAAAGAGCUCGUAGGCGGUCUGUUGCGUCCGCUGUGAAAACUCGGGGCUUAACCCCGAGCCUGCAGUGGAUACGGGCAGACUAGAGGUAGGUAGGGGAGAAUGGAAUUCCCGGUGUAGCGGUGAAAUGCGCAGAUAUCAGGAGGAACACCGAUGGCGAAGGCAGGUCUCUGGGCAUUAACUGACGCUGAGGAGCGAAAGCAUGGGGAGCGAACAGG